CGCCGAGAGGUCAAUGGGGGGGUCGCUGGUCGGGAUUAACCCAACAUCUCACGACACGAGCUGACGACAACCAUGCACCACCUGUCACUUUGUCCCCCGAAGGGGAAGGCUCUAUCUCUAGAGUUGUCAAAGGAAGUCAAGAUUUGGUAAGGUUCUUCGCGUUGCUUCGAAUUAAACCACAUGCUCCACCGCUUGUGCGGAUCCCCAUCAAUUCCUUUGAGUUUCAACCUUGCGGUCGUACUCCCCAGGCGGAGUGCUUAAUGCGUUAGCUGCAGCACUAAGGGGCGGAAACCCCCUAACACUUAACACUCAUCGUUUACGGCGUGGACUACCAGGGUAUCUAAUCCUGUUUGAUCCCCACGCUUUCUCACAUCAGCGUCAGUUACAGACCGGAAAGUCGCCUUCACCACUGGUGUUCCUCCAUAUCUCUGCCCAUUUCACCGCUACACAUGGAAUUCCACUUUCCUCUUCUGCACUCAAGUUUUCCAGUUUCCAAUGACCCUCCACGGUUGAGCCGUGGCCUUUCACAUCAAACUUAAAAAACCGCCUACGCGCGCUUUACGCCCAAAAAAUCCGGAUAACGCUUGC
rnacentral:rRNA from 1 species